CAUGUGGCCAGUAUGCUGUCUUAAAAUUUCAUUUUCAAAAUGACGCCUAUCAAAUCAAUGUAUUUGCGCAUGCAAAUAGCGCGUUAAAUAUAACUGUCAAACUACGAAAUGACACUUGAUGUUAGUACAGUGAAAUUCGCGGUCUCCACUUAACAUUUUUGGAGCUCAUUUUUAUUACGGAGCUUUUUUAACAUAAUCUAAAGAAGGUGGGCCAUGCAAAUUAAUUUUCCUUAUAAUUUCCUCCCAACGCUCCUCUACAUUUUUUUCUAUCCGAUUCAAACACUGACUCUGGCCAGGACUGACACUUCAGCAGCAUUGGAGAAUGUUUAUGCUGCCACAACCACCACCUUUUAGUUCCAUUUUGUUCUAAGGCUGCAAGGAGCCAUAGCUGCGGCGAGGGAGUUUUAUAAAAGGCAAUAGAUGGAGCCGAAAGCGCUUUAAAGGACAUUUUGCAACACAAACUUUAAUAGCAACACGCCAAUGGAGGAUAACUUGUUACAUUCGACGUCGGUUGUUAUUGUUGUUGUAGCAGUAUCUUCGCCCUGACAGUGUAGUGUAAUUACCGGUCGUCUUCGUCUAGUUCAUCUAACGGUAGGCCCAGGAAACUGGCUGUUUCGACGGGUUGGGUCCAGAGGGAGAGGGGUGUUAGAUGAGUGGGUUUGUUGGGGCAUGUGAAAAGGUGGUUAGUGUCGUGCGGGGUGCUUUCACAUGCUGGACAUAUGUUUAGUAUGUCGGGGUCGAUUCUGGAUAGAUAGGACUUUAACCUGCUACAAUAUCCAGAACGUAAUUGUGCCAAGGUUACGCGGGACUCUCGGGGAAGCUGGAGCUCUUCGUCUGCGAUGGGUGGUGUUUGGACUCCGAUAACGGCAUUCGGGGGUCGGGAGCUUAAGAAGGUGGUAAGGGUCUCCCGAUGGAUGUCGUCGGUCUUUGGGGCUUACUCUCAUGAAGGGUAUGAAUUUCAGCGAUCCAUCGUUGAACACUCGCCAUCCAUCCCAGAAAACUCGUCAUCACCAUUAAUUUGUCAUGAAAAACAAACAACCUCCAGCACAACCACAAACAAAAGCAAAAGACAGAGGGAUGCGAAUUGUCUGGAUACGCUAUGUGAUGCUCUUGGCAAGUGGUUGAAAAAAGAUUAAACUCCUGCAACAAUAAAUAGCAAUGCUGAUUUGUUAAGGUAUUGGACAUCUACCUUAUGAAGCAUUCAGAAAAUACCCAAGAUCAACUUAAAGUACAAACUUUAAAUUUAGUUUUAAGUGGUGGCAAAAUGUGUGGAUGUGAUUUGUUUAACAUUUCAAUGGAUUGUGAAAGUAUAUAUGUAGGUGAAAGUUAUAUAUUUAAAUUUUUUACUUUAACAUGUUAAUAUACAAUUUAUGAAUUUAUGAAUUGCUAUUUAAUGUUUUUCAUCUCAAUAUUUUAAAAAAUGUUGUAUGUAUGGUAUGAAUUUGAAUGAAUUAAUGAAUUUUUAUUUAUUUUGAAUGUAUUUUGUAAUGAAAAUAUCUCACUGGAAUGAAAGGAAUUUGAGUGGCUUUUUUAUGUUUAUAAAAUAGAACGAACCAACAUCCCUUUAUACUCAACGAAAUGUAAUAUUAUAUACAAUAUUAAAUAUAUCAGAAGAACGAGAACAUUUGUUCUUUUUUUUGAUUGUAUUCGGCAAUACUUUCAUUGUGAAACCACGGAACGUUUACACAGUCAAAUACGUUGCCGCAUCGGACCCAUUGUGACAGACCUAUUAGCAAGUUAUCCCUUUAU